rnacentral:rRNA from 1 species
CUGGCUCAGGAUGAACGCUGGCGGCGUGCCUAACACAUGCAAGUCGAACGAAGCAUCAUAAAGGAAGUUUACGGAUGGAAUUUAAGAUGACUGAGUGGCGGACGGGUGAGUAACGCGUGGAUAACCUGCCUCAUACAGGGGGAUAACAGCUAGAAAUGGCUGCUAAUACCGCAUAAGCGCACAGUGCCGCAUGGCAGAGUGUGAAAAACUCCGGUGGUAUGAGAUGGAUCCGCGUCUGAUUAGCCAGUUGGCGGGGUAACGGCCCACCAAAGCGACGAUCAGUAGCCGGCCUGAGAGGGCGACCGGCCACAUUGGGACUGAGACACGGCCCAAACUCCUACGGGAGGCAGCAGUGGGGGAUAUUGCACAAUGGGGGAAACCCUGAUGCAGCGACGCCGCGUGAGUGAAGAAGUAUUUCGGUAUGUAAAGCUCUAUCAGCAGGGAAGAAAAUGACGGUACCUGACUAAGAAGCCCCGGCUAACUACGUGCCAGCAGCCGCGGUAAUACGUAGGGGGCAAGCGUUAUCCGGAUUUACUGGGUGUAAAGGGAGCGUAGACGGCAAGGCAAGUCUGAUGUGAAAACCCAGGGCUUAACCCUGGGACUGCAUUGGAAACUGUCUGGCUCGAGUGCCGGAGAGGUAAGCGGAAUUCCUAGUGUAGCGGUGAAAUGCGUAGAUAUUAGGAGGAACACCAGUGGCGAAGGCGGCUUACUGGACUGUAACUGACGUUGAGGCUCGAAAGCGUGGGGAGCAAACAGGAUUAGAUACCCUGGUAGUCCACGC